GCGGGGGUUCCCAAGCGGCCAAAGGGGCGGGGCUCAAGACCUCGUGUCGUAGGACUUCGUGGGUUCAAAUCCCUCCCCCCGCA
rnacentral:tRNA from 1 species